UCACUACUGAGGAGUCCCAUACUAGGACGAAACGGCAGUCCAGUGC
rnacentral:hammerhead_ribozyme from 1 species